rnacentral:rRNA from 1 species
ACGAACGCUGGCGGCGUGCUUAACACAUGCAAGUCGAACGGUGAAGCGCCUUCCUUUUUGGUGGGUGUGGAUGAGUGGCGAACGGGUGAGUAGCACGUGAGUAACCUGCCCCCUUCUUCUGGAUAACCGCAUGAAAGUGUGGCUAAUACGGGAUAUUCUGGGUCUGUCGCAUGAUGGGUCUGGGAAGGAUAUUGUUUCGGUGGGGGAUGGGCUCGCGGCCUAUCAGCUUGUUGGUGGGGUGAUGGCCUACCAAGGCGGUGACGGGUAGCCGGCCUGAGAGGGUGGACGGUCACACUGGGACUGAGACACGGCCCAGACUCCUACGGGAGGCAGCAGUGGGGAAUAUUGCACAAUGGGCGCAAGCCUGAUGCAGCGACGCCGCGUGAGGGAUGGAGGCCUUCGGGUUGUGAACCUCCUUCGCCAGUGAAGCAGGCCUGCCUCGUUUGUGGGUGGGUUGACGGUAGCUGGAUAAGAAGCGCCGGCUAACUACGUG